CUUUUCUUCUUGAAAAUCCUCACUUUCCACUCAAAGCAAACACCUAUUCAAGCUGACACUCAUCUCACGCGUUUCUCCUUCUUUGUGCCGCCCCACCGUCGAAGCCCCGUCGCCACCACGUCGCUUCCAGAACGAGUUGGGGAAUAAAACAUCCAAAAUUGCGCUAAGAUCUUGCUCAAGGAGAUGCAGGUAUUGGCGUUGAAUUUUAGGUACACGUGAAGUAAAGUUGAGAGCUUAGUUGAAGUGUACUUCUAUGGAAGACUUUAGUGUGUAUAAGUUAUUUGAAUUCUUUUAGUUAUGUAAUAUUAUUAGUACUUAGCUUUGCAUCCACUUUAUAAGUAGGUGUAGCAGUAACACCCUGAUGGUGUAUUGGGAAAAUUUUAUAUGUUGGAAUGAUGUAGUUGAUGCAGGUUAAAGGAAAUAUGACGUAAUAUCCUAAAUAAUA